AUACGGAGGGUGCGAGCGUUAAUCGGAAUCACUGGGCGUAAAGCGCGCGCAGGCGGCUAUUUAAGUUGGGUGUGAAAGCCUACGGCUCAACCGUAGAACUGCAUCCAAAACUAUUUAGCUAGAGUGUGCGAGAGGAAGAUGGAAUUAGUUGUGUAGGGGUAAAAUCCGUAGAGAUAACUAGGAAUACCAAAAGCGAAGGCAAUCUUCUGGAACACUACUGACGCUGAGGCGCGAAAGCGUGGGGAGCAAACGGAAUUAGAAACCCUAGUAGUCC
rnacentral:rRNA from 1 species